rnacentral:misc_RNA from 1 species
GCCAAGGAGGUGGAUCAAGCUCCUGUAAACAAUAACAAGAGAGCAAUUUUGACAUGAAUAUCCAUCUUGAGAAAAGAAGUAAACCAUCUCAUGUUACUUAAAAUUUUUAAGAUCAAUGCAGAAUAGAAGCUCACAAAGUUUCAUCACAAGUAGAGUUCAGAUGACCUGACAAAUUCGAAAUAAAACAUCAAAUAUCUGAAUUUCCUAGCAAAAUUGAGGUGAUGUCCAAACCUCAUGCAACCAACUGGGAUAGGUAUAACUGGGUUAAGGGUAAUAGAAGCCUAAAAUAGAGGAACUAUUUCUGAAAAUCAAGAUGGACAUCUCGCAAAAGCCAACAAACGCCAAAUAAUGAUGAUGAUGAUACAAGAUAUCUGUUUUCUAUGAUUAUUUUUUUUUAAUUUACUUUGUCUAAUUUGUCUAUUUCACUAUUAGAUUAAACUUUAACAAUUUACACAAUUGUAGUUAUUGCAAAUUAAAAUUUACAUUGGUUCUGUUCGGCAAUAUUAGUUAUUCUAGUAGCUGGUAAUUAUAUUAGAAGCUAUCAGCUGUUUUACUAGCUGUUACCUAUUAGAUAUUAGUUAUUAGUGGUUAGUUAUUCAUAUAAUGAUUUAAAGCAAAAAUAUUUGAUAAAACUAGCUGUUAAAUGUAAAAAUAAUGGUAUCAUCUUAUCGACUUUGGUCAAAAUGCUCUCUCAACCUCUAAAAGUUAG